rnacentral:rRNA from 1 species
CAUCCCCAUGCGUGUCUGAGAGGAGUGACCAGCCCACACUGGAACUUAGAAACCGGUUCCAGAUCUACGAGAGCAGCCAUGGAAUAUUGCACAUGGCGCCAAGGCUUGAUGCAGCAUUGCGCGUUUGAAGGAAGGCCUUCGGUUUGUAAAGUACCUUCAGCGAGGAGAGGUGUUGAGGUUAAUACUCAGCAAUUGACGUUACUCGCAGAAGAAGCACGGCUAACUCCCGUGGCAGCAGCCGCGGUAAUACGGAGGGUGCAAGCGUAAUCGGAAUUACUGGGCGUAAAGCGCACGCAGGCGGUCCUGUCAAGUCGGAUGUGAAAUCCCCGGGCUCAACCUGGGAACUGCAUCCGAAACUGGCAGGCUAGAGUCUGUAGAGGGGGGUAGAAUUCCAGGUGUAGCGGUGAAAUGCGUAGAGAUCUGGAGGAAUACCGGUGGCGAAGGCGGCCCCCUGGACAAAGACUGACGCUCAGGUGCGAAAGCGUGGGGAGCAAACAGGAUUAGAUACCCUGGCAGUCCACGCCGUAAACGAUGUCGACUUGGAGGUUGUGCCCUUGAGGCGUGGCUUCCGGAGCUAACGCGUUAAGUCGACCGCCUGGGGAGUACGGCCGCAAGGUUAAAACUCAAAUGAAUUGACGGGGGCCCGCACAAGCGGUGGAGCAUGUGGUUUAAUUCGAUGCAACGCGAAGAACCUUACCUACUCUUGACAUCCAGAGAACUUGGCAGAGAUGCCUUGGUGCCUUCGGGAACUCUGAGACAGGUGCUGCAUGGCUGUCGUCAGCUCGUGUUGUGAAAUGUUGGGUUAAGUCCCGCAACGAGCGCAACCCUUAUCCUUUGUUGCCAGCGGUUAGGCCGGGAACUCAAAGGAGACUGCCAGUGAUAAACUGGAGGAAGGUGGGGAUGACGUCAAGUCAUCAUGGCCCUUACGAGUAGGGCUACACACGUGCUACAAUGGCAUAUACAAAGAGAAGCGACCUCGCGAGAGCAAGCGGACCUCAUAAAGUAUGUCGUAGUCCGGAUUGGAGUCUGCAACUCGACUCCAUGAAGUCGGAAUCGCUAGUAAUCGUGGAUCAGAAUGCCACGGUGAAUACGUUCCCGGGCCUUGUACACACCGCCCGUCACACCAUGGGAGUGGGUUGCAAAAGAAGUAGGUAGCUUAACCUUCGGGAGGGCGCUUACCACUUUGUGAUUCAUGACUGGGGUGAAGUCGUAACAAGGUAACCA